rnacentral:rRNA from 1 species
CCCUUAGAUGUUCUGGGCCGCACGCGCGCUACACUGAUGCGUUCAACGAGUAUACAACCUUGAUCGAUAGGUCUGGGUAAUCUUGUGAAUGCGCAUCGUGCUAGGGAUAGAUUGUUGCAAUUUUCAAUCUUGAACGAGGAAUUCCUAGUAAACGCAAGUCAUCAGCUUGCAUUGAUUACGUCCCUGCCCUUUGUACACACCGCCCGUCGCUACUACCGAUUGAACGGUUUAGUGAGGGCCUCGGAUUGGUCUCGGCCCGCUCUUUACCGGGCGGCGCCGUUGGUCGAGAAGACGCUCGAACUUGAUCGUUUAGAGGAAGUAAAAGUCGUAACA